AAAACAUGUCCUUUUGAUUUUUAUUUAAGGUCUGGCCUGCUCAAUGAGGUUUUAAAUAGCCGCGAUAAUCUGAUCGUGCAAAGGUAGCAUAAUCAUUAGUUUCUUAAUUAGAAGCUGGUAUGAAGGGUUGGACGAAACUGGGACUGUCUCGGGUUAAUUUUGUUGGAAUUUUAUUUUUAGGUAAAAAAGCCUAAAUAGUUCUUAAAGACGAGAAGACCCUAUAGAGUUUUACAGUUUGUGUUAGAAUAAUUUUAUUUAGGGAUUGUUAUUGGUUAUUUUACUUGAUUGUUUAGUUGGGGUGAUUGAAGAAAUUUUUUAACUUCUUUUAUUUGUUAACAUUAAUUUAUGAUUAAUUGAUCCAUUUAUUUAUGAUUAUAAGAUUAAAUUACCUUAGGGAUAACAGCGUAAUUUCUUUUGAGAGUUCUUAUCGAAAAAGGAGUUUGCGACCUCGAUGUUGGAUUAAAGUUUAUUAUCGGCGCAGAAGUUGAAUAAUUUGGUCUGUUCGACCAUUAAAACUUUACAUGA
rnacentral:rRNA from 1 species